rnacentral:rRNA from 1 species
GACGAACCGAGCGAACGUUGUUCGGAAUCACUGGGCUUAAAGGGCGCGUAGGCGGGUGUGUAAGUCUGCGGUGAAAUCCUCCAGCUUAACUGGAGAAGUGCCGUGGAUACUGCUCAUCUUGAGGAGGGUAGGGGCAUCUGGAACCGUCGGUGGAGCGGUGAAAUGCGUUGAUAUCGACCGGAACUCCGGUGGCGAAGGCGAGGUGCUGGACCCUUUCUGACGCUGAGGCGCGAAAGCCAGGGGAGCAAACGGG